rfam:Schistosoma mansoni strain Puerto Rico chromosome 1, complete genome
AUCUAGCUGACGAGUCUCAAAUAGGACGAAACGCUCGUUAAACUGGAU